AUUGAACGCUGGCGGCAGGCCUAACACAUGCAAGUCGAGCGAGCGGCGGACGGGUGAGUAAUGUGUGAGGACUGCCUGAUGGCGGGGGCUCAAUAGUGGGAACGGUCGCUAAUACCGCAUACAGUACGAUAACCCAUAUGGGAUUAGCGUGUAGGUGAGGUAACGGCUCACCUAGGCGACGACCCCUAGCUGGCCGGAGAGGAUGAUCGGCCAAACUGGGACUGAGAAACGGCCCAGAUUCCUACGGAGGCAGCAGUGGGGAAUAUUGCACAAUGGGCGAAAGCCUGAUGCAGCCAUGCCGCGUGUAUGAAGAAGGCCUUCGGGUUGUAAAGUACUUUCAGUCGGGAGGCGUUACCGACAGAAGAAGCACCGGCUAACUCCGUGCCAGCAGCCGCGGUAAUUC
rnacentral:rRNA from 1 species